CCUACGGGAGGCAGCAGUGGGGAAUUUUCCGCAAUGGGCGAAAGCCUGACGGAGCAAUACCGCGUGAGGGAGGAAGGCUCUUGGGUUGUAAACCUCUUUUUUCAGGGAAGAUAAUGACGGUACCUGAGGAAUAAGCAUCGGCUAACUCCGUGCCAGCAGCCGCGGUAAUACGGAGGAUGCAAGCGUUAUCCGGAAUGAUUGGGCGUAAAGCGUCCGCAGGUGGUUUUAAAAGUCUGUUGUUAAAGCGUGAGACUUAACCUCAUAAGGGCAAUGGAAACUGUAAGACUAGAGUACGUUCGGGGCAAGGGGAAUUCCCAGUGUAGCGGUGAAAUGCGUAGAGAUUGGGAAGAACACCGGUGGCGAAAGCGCCUUGCUAGGCCGUAACUGACACUGAGGGACGAAAGCUAGGGGAGCGAAUGGGAUUAGAUACCCCAGUAGUCCUAGCCGUAAACGAUGGAUACUAGGCGUUGUCUGUAUCGACCCGGACAGUGCCGUAGCUAACGCGUUAAGUAUCCCGCCUGGGGAUACGCACGCAAGUGUGAAACUCAAAGGAAUUGACGGCUGAGACNGCGAGACGACACGAGGAGAG
rnacentral:rRNA from 1 species